UAAGCAUAUCAAUAAGCGGAGGAAAAGAAACCAACAGGGAUUGCCCUAGUAACGGCGAGUGAAGCGGCAACAGCUCAAAUUUGAAAUCUGGCGUCUUUGGCGUCCGAGUUGUAAUUUGCAGAGGGCGCUUUGGCAUUGGCAGCGGUCCAAGUUCCUUGGAACAGGACGUCACAGAGGGUGAGAAUCCCGUACGUGGUCGCUAGCCUUUACCGUGUAAAGCCCCUUCGACGAGUCGAGUUGUUUGGGAAUGCAGCUCUAAAUGGGAGGUAAAUUUCUUCUAAAGCUAAAUACUGGCCAGAGACCGAUAGCGCACAAGUAGAGUGAUCGAAAGAUGAAAAGCACUUUGGAAAGAGAGUUAAAAAGCACGUGAAAUUGUUGAAAGGGAAGCGCUUGCAGCCAGACUUGCCUGUAGUUGCUCAUCCGGGUUUUUACCCGGUGCACUCUUCUAUAGGCAGGCCAGCAUCAGUUUGGGCGGUUGGAUAAAGGUCUCUGUCAUGUAACUCUCUUCGGGGAGAACUUAUAGGGGAGACGACAUGCAACCAGCCUGGACUGAGGUCCGCGCAUCUGCUAGGAUGCUGGCGUAAUGGCUGUAAGCGGCCCGUCUUGAAACACGGACCAAGGAGUCUAACAUCUAUGCGAGUGUUUGGGUGUCAAGCCCGAGCGCGUAAUGAAAGUGAACGGAGGUGGGAACCUUUCGGGGUGCACCAUCGACCGAUCCUGAUGUCUUCGGAUGGAUUUGAGUAAGAGCAUAGCUGUUGGGACCCGAAAGAUGGUGAACUAUGCUUGAAUAGGGUGAAGCCAGAGGAAACUCUGGUGGAGGCUCGCAGCGGUUCUGACGUGCAAAUCGAUCGUCAAAUUUGGGCAUAGGGGCGAAAGACUAAUCGAACUAUCUAGUAGCUGGUUCCUGCCGAA
rnacentral:rRNA from 1 species